rnacentral:rRNA from 2 species
CGCNGUAAACGAUGGAAGCCAGCCGUUGGCAGAUUUAUCUGUCGGUGGCGCAGCUAACGCAUUAAGCUUCCCGCCUGGGGAGUACGGUCGCAAGAUUAAAACUCAAAGGAAUUGACAGGGGCCCGCACAAGCGGUGGAGCAUGUGGUUUAAUUNGAAGCAACGCGCAGANCCUUACCAGCCCUUGACAUCCCGAUCAGGAUCAUCAGAGAUGAUGAUUGUCGGUUCGGCCGGAUCGGUGACAGGUGCUGCAUGGCUGUCGUCAGCUCGUGUCGUGAGAUGUUGGGUUAAGUCCCGCAACGAGCGCAACCCUCGCCCUUAGUUGCCAUCAUUAAGUUGGGCACUCUAAGGGGACUGCCGGUGAUAAGCCGAGAGGAAGGUGGGGAUGACGUCAAGUCCUCAUGGCCCUUACGGGCUGGGCUACACACGUGCUACAAUGGUGGUGACAGUGGGCAGCGAGACCGCGAGGUCGAGCUAAUCUCCAAAAGCCAUCUCAGUUCGGAUUGCACUCUGCAACUCGAGUGCAUGAAGUUGGAAUCGCUAGUAAUCGUGGAUCAGCAUGCCACGGUGAAUACGUUCCCGGGCCUUGUACACACCGCCCGUCACACCAUGGGAGUUGGCUUUACCCGAAGGUGCCGCGCUAACCGCAAGG